CCCUCUCUCAAAAUUACCAACCGCCUACAGUCUCUCUCUCUGUCUCUUUCUCUUUCUCAAUUCUUCCUCCCUCCCUCUCUCUUUCUCGCUCUCGGUGCCGGUGAAGACAGAGGUGCGGCAAUGAGCUCCACCAUUUCUGCUUGGAACCCCAUAUCCUCUCUCCACCUGAUCGACCUCACACCCUUUCUCUCCUUUUUCCUCUUAUCUUCUUGAUGGUGUUUUGCAUCAGUCUCUGUUUCAACUUUUUUGUAGUGAUUUUUUAAGUUUUAGUUUUGUCUCUUAGAUCAGCUAGUGCUCAUUGUGUAGUUAAGAUAAAAUAUCUUUGUCUUCCAAAGCUUCAGCAUUUCUGCAGAUGAGUCUAUUUUUUUGUAAUGUUGGUGUUUUGUUGUCGUGUUCAAUGGAAUUCCUUUUCAUUAUCUAGAUUCGUAAGAAUCAAUGGACAAAGGAUUUGCAAAAUGGCCAAAAAUCAAUCUGAUAUGUGCAACGGGACUUCUCCAGCAGUAGUGUUAAACAGAAUUGUUGCUCAUGUCAAUUAAUUUGACUUGACUAUAUACGAGCAGUGUUGAAAUCAGUUCAGGAACUGCUCAAGUUCACUAGCGCACAAACAAUGGUUGACUACUUCACUUCACCUGAGAUUCUUCUUUCGUGGACUGGUCAAUUCUUUCCACCGUAUUCUUUAAGAGUAAAGGAAGUCUCAAUUUGAAAGUUACAAAACUGAGGCUCGGGAUUCAAGCAACAAGACUGUAAGGUGUAUUCGUGUCAAAGGUGGAAGUCAUAUAUGCGUUGUUAUGAUUAUUCUUUAUUCAUUUUGAUGUUUAUUUAUUGUUUUUGGAUAAUUUGUUGAUUGGAAUGUUAUGUUGUGUUAUUCUCAUAUUUGAUUCAAUAUUUAUGUAAUUUUUAAAUACAUAUACUAUUAGUGACAGCAU